rnacentral:lncRNA from 10 species
CCACCCUCUCCCCAGCCUCUGGUAAACAACAUGCUACUCUCUCCUGUGAGUUUAGGUUUUUUAGAGUUCCCAUGUAAGUAAGAGGCGUGGACCUUUUUUCCUGUUCUUCAGGGUUACUACCAAAGUUGACUCCCUCGACUGAUCUUACUUUUCACAUCUUCUUUAUCUGACCCCCACCUUUGUACUCAGAUUUGCUCCACCACCCUCACCUGCCAUUGACAAG